GACGAACGCUGGCGGCGUGCCUAAUACAUGCAAGUAGGACGCAGUUGCCAACGGGUGAGUAACGCGUAGGUAAUUACAUCUUAGUGGGGGAGAAUUAUUGGAAACGAUAGUUAAUACCGCAUACUAGUAGAUUGACCUUCGUUGUAUUAGCUAGUAGGUAGGGUACAGGCUUAUCUAGGCGACGAUACAUAGCCGACCUGAGAGGGUGAUCGGACACACUGGGACUGAGACACGGCCCAGACUCCUACGGUAGGCAGCAGUAGGGAAUCUUCGGCAAUGGGGGGAACCCUGACCGAGCAACGCCGCGUGAGUGAAGAAGGUUUUCGGAUCGUAAAGCUCUGUUGUUAAGGAAGCGGUACUUAACCAGAAAGGGACGGCUAACUACGUGCCAGCAGCCGCGGUAAUUC
rnacentral:rRNA from 1 species